rnacentral:lncRNA from 1 species
GUAGCAACUUUAUUUUCAAUGACGUCCAGCUACGCAUCACAUGUUCCAGAGUUAAGGUAGUUCCAUUAACCAUGAGUGGGGGUGAGCCUACCAAAUUUAUUACAACUCUGUAAGAAUCAACGGUAUGGCUACCCAAGAAAUUUCCGCCUACGAUGGUGUCAAGAAUAUACCUAUUCCAAGGAGAAAUACCCACAUAAAAACUGCAAAGCAGGAAGGUAGUAGAUUGCUUACGAGUAGAUCUACUCUGAGCAUUGCAAAUCCUAUACCAAGCGUCCUUCAAAUUUUCUUCCUCAUUUUGUUUGAAAUUGUGAACUUCAUUUUCGGGAGUAUCAUUCGAAGCGGCGGGUCUAGCCAUGAGGACAGGUAGACUAUCCCACACAAACGAACAGAAAGCAAGCGAGAGAAAAGGG